rnacentral:lncRNA from 1 species
GAGGCCACACUGAGGGUGUGGGUGGUUGGUUGUGAUGGAGGGUUUGGUGUGUGCUCUGGUUAAGCCGAGCCCUGCCUGUGAACCCACUCGGAGCUCCUGGAUCUUCUGGUUCCCUGUACGUACCUCCCACACUCCCUCCACUGGGGGGUUCCUGGUCUCCCGUGACAGUGCAAACACAACACCAUCAAGCCCCAGAGGGGGACGGCACCUACGGACCUUGAGAACACUAGCAAUAUGAAGAUGUGCCUGUCGGUCCCCUCUGUCCUCAGGGCAUCCGACUGUCCUCAGAACUGACUUCCCAGAAGCUGCUCUGCACCCAGUGACCUCAGCUGGGCCAGGGGUGGGGCCUGAGCUAAACUCUCAGGUACUCAUGACAUUGCAGCCUGAAGGCAGUAAAGAGGAGAAGAAACCGCUGGGAACCCACACUGCAGAGAACUUCCAGAUCAGGCUCCAAGCCAGUUUCUUCUUGUGGGGGAAGAACCUACAGCUGCUCAAAGAACACGGGGAACUCAUCGCUUUGGUUCAUCCAAAUCCUCACCCGAGGGUCAUCCAUUUCUUGCACCUUUUUGAUGGCUUCCUUCUCUUCUUCUCUUAAGAGUCGUGGGCUUAGGAGCAGGAUAGAGAUGCAAUGGUAACCUCCGCACCUUCUCAGUUCUUGCAGAAGGACCCAGGUAGACACACCUCCCAGUUGCCUAUGGCGAUCUUAUUGAUGUGAUUUGAGAAAUGACAGCAUGUAAAAAUAUCUCUGGGGAGCCUCAGUGUUUGGGUACAAGGAGCACAGAAAUUAUUUUCGCCAAAUUGAUUUUGUACAUAGAAGAAGGGUCCGGAUAUAAAUUAAAACACAUAGCUCUAGGUAUUUCGUUCUUUUCGUAGGAAAUUUGUAGUGGCCACGUGCUACACUAGCAGCAAUUUUCACAUUUUUCUAAUUCAGAAAGGUUUUCUUAUAUUAGGGGAAAAUUAUUUAUUUUAAUAUAUAAAAGAAUCACUGUACAAAUCGCUUUCGUAAGAAAUGGAGUGCAUGUAAAUUUUUUUUCAACGAAAAAUAAACAGGUGAAUGUGGGGUAAUAAUUUUUUUCCAGCACAGUCUACCUCAGUGUAUUGUUAGGAUGUGGUUCAAUAAUGGAUAUCUUUUGAGACUUCAGAAUUCUGCCUGGAUCCAAUCUGAAUCAGGAAAAAUUCACAUCAGCUGAUUCUGAAUGCCAGGGACCAGUAAGAAUUUUGAGGGAGGGAGUCGGGCUGAAGUAUGGCUUUCAUGUGAGCAUAGAUACUUUUUUUCUGGCUGAUAAGAGUCUCCUGAAUUUAAUCUUUUUUUUUUCUUUUUUUGGGGAUCCUCCAUCCAUUGAUACCAUGGCCCCCAAGCAUGAACCAGGUUUCAGGCCAUCAUGAUAUAUCUGAUGGGGGGGGCAUUCAGUUAUGAAAUACCCUCCACUGGAGAGGGACACUUCCUCCUCAGGGAGGCAAACACAGGCUUUGAUAUAGACCCAGCAUCCUUACUGUCCCACUGCAUUCUCGUGGUGUGAAUGCCUAGGUGCCCUGGGCUCUCCAUGGCUUAUUUCCACUCCUUUGAGGCAGAGAUGUUUUUUGGGAGUGGAACAAAGAACUUUCAUGAUCACCUCACACUCACCCCAUGCAGGCUCUUUUUUAUUCUCUGAGUGGGAAGGAGACCUGUUGAGAAAUUUCUACCCCAAACCCAUCAACAUGCUCAACACAUGUUUUAGCAGCAAAAUCUUAGACCCCUGUAUCUUGGAUUGGUUGACCUCAAGCUGAUAGUAGUUGACCUUGGGGGACUUUGAAAACCCAUGUGUAAGUCUGAGCAAGGCCGGCAGGAAAGCUGUCAUACUCACCAAAUCUUGCUGCCCUUCCCAUGCCUAUAGGCACCACUGUUGCAGACUGACUUCUCCAGUUGCCCUGGUGGGGUACUGUAGAGUGCUGGGUCAGCCCUAUGUAAAUGGGACUUCCCUGACUUCAUUUGACUGUCUCUGCUGCUACUGCAGUGAAAGAGCAAGUAGGCUGAGGUCACAGCCUCGUUUUGCAUCAGGAUCAAACGUGCCUCAGCCUAACACGGAAAACAACUCAACUCGGAGACACAAAACCCACCCAAAGCUCGAUUCUUUUUUUUUUUUUUUUUUUCCAAUAUUUUCCUGCAAGAGCCAAGUAGCACCAUGUACAGAAUAUGCCUUUUUUUUUUUUUGGAAUAUCAAAAUUGCUCUGCAUGUAAAAUAUGGGAUAAUUACUUGUUUAUAUGAAAAUUCGGAAUAAAUUAUCUGA